UUUUUAUUUAUAUUUCUAACCUCUUUAGAUCAUUACAAGUAUAUACCUCAUAAUGAAAAUGAAAAUAAUUCCAUUUAAAAUGCUAUCUAGAAAGACCUUAACACGCAUUAUGUGUCAUAAUGAAGUAACACAAAGAAACUUCUUAAAACAUAGGAUUUCUCUCUAAAGCUUAAAUGUGAGGCAGACAGACGUCUAACUUUAAAACAGAUGGAACCCCAGAACAUUUCCAGGAUACAUAAAUCUGAAUUUUGUGUUACAUUUUAUGCCUGAGACAGCUAACCCAUCCAAAUUGAUGAGGCCUUUGUACUUGCCUCAACAAAUCGCCACAAAAUAUGUGAUGGAAGUGAUGCUGCUUCUAGGACUUCUGCAAGUUUCUCUCGGCACACUGGCCUGGGAGCCUUCAGCUGCCAGGACCUAAUGUGCCACAUGAACAGGAGAAGAGCAAAAUGGGAAAGACAGCUUAAGGAGAGAAUAGUAAAGGUUUGAAACAGACCCAGACAAAAUGGUUGAGUAGAGGCAAAAGGACUGUACAGACGGUAGCCAUUUGCUGACAUUCCCUGAAUGACGAAUUGUGGAAUGAAUUAGAGCUGC